rnacentral:rRNA from 1 species
UACGUAGGGUGCAAGCGUUAAUCGGAAUUACUGGGCGUAAAGCGUGCGCAGGCGGCUAUGCAAGACAGAUGUGAAAUCCCCGGGCUCAACCUGGGAACUGCAUUUGUGACUGCAUGGCUAGAGUACGGUAGAGGGGGAUGGAAUUCCGCGUGUAGCAGUGAAAUGCGUAGAUAUGCGGAGGAACACCGAUGGCGAAGGCAAUCCCCUGGACCUGUACUGACGCUGAGACACGAAAGCCAGGGGAGCGAACGGG